GUUGAAAAGAGCUAAAGCUCAGUAAUGCUUUGGCCCCACCCUUCCUGAUCCCAGCCAGCCUAUUUGCUGAGAUCACUGCUCUCAGAGGUGAUGGGGAUGCAUGUUCCACCUUUCACAGGGUGAUGCACCAUGUAGCAGAGCUGGGAUUUCAAGGUCACCUUGCUCCUGAAGGAAAAAUACAAAGGUUGGUGAAUCAA